rnacentral:tRNA from 1 species
UGGGGUGUAGCCAAGUGGUAAGGCAGCGGACUUUGACUCCGUUAUUCGCAGGUUCGAAUCCUUCCACCCCAG